rnacentral:rRNA from 1 species
UACAGAGGGUGCAAGCGUUGUUCGGAAUUAUUGGGCGUAAAGAGCUCGUAGGCGGUUUGUCGCGUCUGCUGUGAAAACCUAAGGCUCAACCUUGGGCUUGCAGUGGGUACGGGCAGGCUAGAGUUCGGUAGGGGAGACUGGAAUUCCUGGUGUAGCGGUGAAAUGCGCAGAUAUCAGGAGGAACACCGGUGGCGAAGGCGGGUCUCUGGGCCGAUACUGACGUGAGGAGCGAAAGCGUGGGGAGCGAACAGG